rnacentral:lncRNA from 1 species
CAAAGUAUCUCUCCAGAGUACUGUGCAGCGUAAGAUACAACCUAAUCUGCAGUCCUGUUUGCUUUCCGGUACAUAUGCACUAUCUGAAACAUGCUGCAAUCUCUCAGUAUCAACCUGAUGUCGCACAGUAGGGGACUGCCAUUCCCCCUCCAUCUCUCCUCCUGUAUCAAAUCAAUCACUGUGGUCGAGUCACCCUCCAAGAUAAUGUGCUCGGCCCCUAACCUUCGUCUCGCAUAGGAGAUCCUCUUCCAUGCUGCCCUAAGCUCCAUCCUUGUAGCUGAGAGACCAUCAAUCCGUUGCCUACCAGGCAAUCAGCUGUGAGUCAUGGACUCUGAUAACAAAACCUACACCGCCCCCACCACCAACUUCUAGGCUGCUACCAUCGAAAUUCACCUUUAGAUAGCUGGAGGGUGGGGACUCCCAAGAGAUAAGGAGAAACCU